ACUUAAGCAUAUCAAUAAGCGGAGGAAAAGAAACUAACAAGGAUUCCCCUAGUAACUGCGAGUGAAGCGGGAAAAGCUCAAAUUUAAAAUCUGGCAGUCUUUGAUUGUCCGAGUUGUAAUCUAGAGAAGCAUUAUCCGCGCUGGACCGUGUACAAGUCUCCUGGAAUGGAGCGUCAUAGAGGGUGAGAAUCCCGUCUUUGACACGGACUGCCAGGGCUUUGUGAUGUGCUCUCAAAGAGUCGAGUUGUUUGGGAAUGCAGCUCAAAAUGGGUGGUAAAUUCCAUCUAAAGCUAAAUAUUGGCGAGAGACCGAUAGCGAACAAGUACCGUGAGGGAAAGAUGAAAAGAACUUUGGAAAGAGAGUUAAACAGUACGUGAAAUUGCUGAAAGGGAAACGCUUGAAGUCAGUCGCGUUGGCCGGGAAUCAACCUUGCUUUUGCUGGGCGUACUUCCUGGUUAACGGGUCAGCAUCAAUUUUGACCGUUGGAUAAAGUURUUGGGAAUGUGGCAUCUUCGGAUGUGUUAUAGCCCAGUUUCGUAUACAACGGUUGGGAUUGAGGAACUCAGCACGCCGCAAGGCCGGGUUUUUAACCACGUUCGUGCUUAGGAUGCUGGCAUAAUGGCUUUAAUCGACCCGUCUUGAAACACGGACCAAGGAGUCUAACAUGCCUGCGAGUGUUUGGGUGGAAAACCCGAGCGCGUAAUGAAAGUGAAAGUUGAGAUCCCUGUCGUGGGGAGCAUCGACGCCCGGACUUGAACUUUUGUGACGGAUCCGCGGUAGAGCAUGUAUGUUGGGACCCGAAAGAUGGUGAACUAUGCCUGAAUAGGGUGAAGCCAGAGGAAACUCUGGUGGAGGCUCGUAGCGAUUCUGACGUGCAAAUCGAUCGUCAAAUUUGGGUAUAGGGGCGAAAGACUA
rnacentral:rRNA from 1 species